CCCUUAGAUGUUCUGGGCCGCACACGCGCUACACUGAAGGAGGCAGCGUGUACUCCUGGAUCGAAAGAUUUGGGUAACCCGCGAAUCUCCUUCGUGCUAGGGAUUGAGGUUUGCAAUUAUCCUUCAUGAACGAGGAAUUCCCAGUAAGUGCAAGUCAUAAGCUUGCGCUGCCUACGUCCCUGCCCUUUGUACACACCGCCCGUCGCUACUACCGAUUGAAUGAUUUAGUGAGGACUUCGGACUGGGACCGAUGCGGCUUUCGGGCUGCGUCGGUAUUCUGGAAAGAUGUCCAAACUGUAUCAUUUAGAGGAAGUAAAAGUCGUAACA
rnacentral:rRNA from 1 species